CGGGGAUCCUUCCUCACAGUGUUGAGAACAUCAAGGUCAGGUCUGUUCUGGUGGUACCCGUGUGCACAUUCCUGGUGUCCAUCAUUAUCCAGGUUCUGCACCCAGACUCUGCAUUUCUGCUUUGUUUCAGCCUGGCGAUACAAAGAGGUUGCGAAGCCAAGUUUCCUCAAAAAUUCUGAGUGUGAGAAUGUUCCCAGCAGUGUUUUCAAGACACCGUUGCCACAUCCAUGGACAGCAAGAUGUAGGCCUACAUUUGUCUCUCAAAUGCUGUACGUGUGGUUUUCAUGAGGAGAUCCUUGAUGCAUUUUAAGUGAAUUUUUGCAUAGGCUCCACCAAAUAACAGCUUUGCAAAUAUAAGCGUUCUUGGUGCUUGUCUCUAGCAGAUCGGCUAUACUGCAAGUUCUUCCAAUUCUUCUCUGCCCUUCUCUUCAGACCACCCUGGCCUCCAGACAACUGGACACACUUCUGAUGCUGCCCUAUGCCACCAAAAACUGACAUGUCCUUUGGGCUCCACCUGGGGGCUAAGGGAUCCGAGCACAACAGCAUGGUGACUCCACAUAAGGGACUGCUAUAUCUUGCUCCAAGGGACCUGAACAAGGAAACAGUAUCCACAAGGGCCUGCAUUACCCUUUGCAGAGUGUCCCUCAGGUGAAGUCCACACAGUUGAGCAACUAGGCCCCGCCCCACGACUUCCUGUGAGAGCAAUUCCUGGCUGCUGCUAGUCAGCUCUGGGCCCCCUGCUCUGCAGGUUCUAUGGUGAGGGAACGCCAGUGCCCAGGUCUCCCUCAGGGCCCUAGGAGAAGGCAAGGAGGCCCAGAUGGCAGUCCAAGGAUCUUCCAACUCCCUGCCUGCCCGAUCUGCCCAACAGCAAGGCCUCCUGGGAAGGAGGCAUGAAUGGAGCUGGGUGUCUUGAAACUGUUUCCGCACGAUGGCAGUAGAGCUGCAGACAUGGCCACCAGCCCUCUUCCUGGGCGCUCUUCUCCCGCCC